rnacentral:rRNA from 1 species
ACGCGAAGAACCUUACCCAGGCUUGAACAGCGAGUGACCACUCACGAAAGUGAGCUUCCGCAAGGACACUCGUAGAGGUGCUGCAUGGCUGUCGUCAGCUCGUGUCGUGAGAUGUUGGGUUAAGUCCCGCAACGAGCGCAACCCUUGUCUGCUGUUGCCAUCACGUUAUGGUGGGCACUCUGCAGAGACUGCCGGUGAUAAACCGGAGGAAGGUGGGGAUGACGUCAAGUCAGCAUGGCCUUUAUGUCUGGGGCUACACACGUGCUACAAUGGCCGAUACAAACCGUCGCGAGCCCGCAAGGGGGAGCUAAUCGGAGAAAGUCGGUCUCAGUUCGGAUUGUCGGCUGCAACUCGCCGGCAUGAAGUUGGAAUCGCUAGUAAUCGCGGAUCAGCACGCCGCGGUGAAUACGUUCCCGGGCCUUGUA